UUGAACUAUUUAGCUGAUCGCACGGUCUAAGAACCGGCGACAUAUCCUUCAAAUGUCUGCCUUAUCAACUGUCGAUGGUAGAUUAUGCGCCUACCAUGGUUGUAACGGGUAACGGAGAAUCAGGGUUUGAUUCCGGAGAGGGAGCCUGAGAAAUGGCUACCACAUCCAAGGAAGGCAGCAGGCACGCAAAUUACCCAUUCCCGGCACGGGGAGGUAGUGACGAAAAAUAACAAGCUGGUCUCUUUGAGUUCCGGCAUUGUAAUGGGAACAACUUAAAUCAUUUAUCGAGGAUCUAUUGGAGGGCAAGUCUGGUGCCAGCAGCCGCGGUAAUUCCAGCUCCAAUAGCGUAUAUUAAAGUUGUUGCGGUUAAAAAG
rnacentral:rRNA from 1 species